CAGUAGCCGCGGUAAUACGAAGGGGGCUAGCGUUGCUCGGAAUGACUGGGCGUAAAGGGCGCGUAGGCGGCGGCCAAAGUCAGGCGUGAAAUUCCCGGGCUCAACCUGGGAGCUGCGUUUGAUACUUGGUUGCUUGAGUGGGGAAGAGGGUCGUGGAAUUCCCAGUGUAGAGGUGAAAUUCGUAGAUAUUGGGAAGAACACCGGUGGCGAAGGCGGCGACCUGGUCCUUUACUGACGCUGAGGCGCGAAAGCGUGGGGAGCAAACAGGAUUAGAUACCCCCGUAGUCCCUGUCUCUUAUAC
rnacentral:rRNA from 1 species